UAAUACUAGUUCUCGCCGAGAUGCCUUCAUUUGGGUUCACGAUUGGAAUGCUUCCGCAGAUCCCUGGUUCGAAUCCACCCGUUGAAAAGCACGCUCCAUAGAUAGAUUUUGCAGCUGAUAAAGGCAUGCUACUGGUUCGAAUCCACCCAAUUUUAAAAAAGCAUGCUACCGUUAAUAAACACGCUCCAUAGAUAGAUAUUGCAGCUGAAAAAAGCAUGCUACCGUUAACAAAAACACUCCUCUAUUCUUUAACCUAUUAUAUAUAUGGCCGUUGAUUUGGAAGAAUAGCUCAUUCGCAAUGUUAAGAAUCAUCUGGGGAGGAAUGUUUCGUAUUUUGUUGUGCGGACUCUUCUGGUUAUUGCUGCUCAAGGCCAUAGUGAGCAUAGAGAUGAAAGAUUUUAGGGAUUUGAAUUUAUAGAAUCUUGGUAUAGGGCUCGAUGCCCUUUCCUGCAAGGGGUGAAUUUGCCAUUUGGUGAAUGUUGUCCGAGGGAGUGAUGCCUCCAACGCCUCAGAGGUCAUCCACAUCACCAAUCAUGUGCAGAGGAAUGUUGACUGAUUUCAGAAAGGAGAACCAGUACGUAUGUUAGCUUAUUAUGGUAGCCGUGGACCAGCAAAAUUUGCAGAGGUAGAAGAAUGCUCAGCCAAUAUAAGGGAGGGCAGAAACCAUAUUACUGAAGCUUAAAUCUCUGAAAAUGGAAGCAUGUUGCACGCAUUGCUGGAGAUGGUGUAGCUACAGGAAGACAGCAAUGACGUGGAUAAUAUAAAGCAGACAUUUAGCAAAUGGCUACUUAUGCUAAAAGUGGAGUGAAUUUUAAAAUAAAUUAAAAUUUGUUGUGAACUUGAAUAUAUAUAUAUUUAAUAGUAAUGUUAAUAUACAAAUUUUUUGUUUCUUUCACAUUGAUGUUAACAGUUUGAUUGUUGAAGUCAGAUUCACUACAGUGACUUAAUGAAUGUUUAGAAAGUUCUGUUUACAUUAGAUUCUAUUUUGUUGGUUUCUUUGUCCAUCAUUCUAUGUUUUUUGUUUUUUUUCUUUGCUUUCAUUCUAUUUUUGUUUGGCAUGGCCAUGCCGCCUCUGUUUUUAUUUUGUCUAUGAGUUAUACUCUAAUAUGUCUGGUAUGUGUUUUUCUUUUGUAUUUUUAUGUGUAGAUUGUCUUCAAAAAAGUUUUUUUGGUAUUUUGUAUUUUUCUUUUUUCGUGGGUGGUGAUUUUUCAGGCAGCAGUGAUGACAAGGAGGAGGAGGAGGAGAAAUGAAGCAGAACUACACAUCACAGGCACCAGGAAAUACAACAGUAUUGACGAUAAGGAGGAUGAUGAGGAAAUAGCCAAGCAGCUAGCGAAAGCUAUAAAAGUCUGUUUAUCUGAAGUCCCAAAUAAACAGAGAGCAGCCACAUACUAAUCAAGCGUGCAACAUUAGAUAAUGUUUGGAUCUGGUUCAGGCAUUCGAUGUGGCAGAAGCAGUUGGUAUUCUUUGAUUACUAUAAUGAUAAAUACCUUUGCCAUGUCUGUAGAAUGAUGUCUAGAGUGCAAAGUGAUGCCUAGAGUUUCUCAAUUGUUAUUGAAGUCAAUGCAUAACAAAUUUUAUUUUUACUAUUGCACUUUUGCAUCAUUUGUUGAAAUCAUUCAACUUAUUCAUAAAUGGAUAUGUAAAUAGAUUUUUUGUUUAAUAAUUUUUUUUUGGGAGGGGUUGAAUUUGCCCCCUCCUCAAGGUUGCAGGGAAUGGUCAUUGGUCAUGACCAUUUUUUUCAGCUCAGUGUUUCUUCCUUGAUUUA